UUCAGUUAAAGACUUUGGAAA
rnacentral:piRNA from 1 species